AAUAUUGGGACAUAUAAAAAAAGACAACUCUGUUCCGCAGAGUAGCUGUUGACAUUAUAGUUGCGCAGGAACUUUGUUGACUCUAGAGAACCUCGGGCAAAUCGCACAUCCCCAUGGUGGCAACUUUGCAUGCGGAUGUCAUCCAUAUCAACUUUCAAUGUCAGUUUCUGCACCUACCAUGGUGACCAUGAGUAACGGGGAACCAGGAUUCCAUUCCGUACAGGGACCCUGAGAAACGGCUACCACAUGCAAGGAAGGCAGCAGGCGCGCAAAUGACCCACUCCCGACACGGGAAGGUAGUGA